CAAUGCUCUUAUCAGAACUAAAUUGUCUGACUGGAGUUGGAGACUUCGUGUGCUUAGAAAAUCUAGAGUUUCUACUAGAGCUCUCGCUUCUGCCUGAGCUGCUGAAGUUACACAUACAGAAUCCGUCCACCAAUUGCAACGUUGCAAUCACGGCACACAGCUAAUCGCUCCUUCCGUCGAGCCCUCUGCGAAGGAUCAGAUCUGAGGAGAUGCCAUGGAUUUGGAGUUUGCUUGCGAAAGGUAGAAUUGUUUCUGGAUUUCCAUAUAUGCCUAAGAGUCAACUGCUAAAAGCUCAAAGGUCGCCGUGGUACUCUUGAAAUUCAACAGCCAUUCUUUAAUUUUAACGAGCACGUCAUUAUCGAUGAGGAUCUGGAGGGUGGGGUCUAACCAAACUUGGCAUGCUCAAGGGUAUAACAAGAAUAUAUCCUCCACAGCCUCCGGUUGUCGACUGCGCAGCUCACAUGUAUCCUCUUCGGUGAUUCUCUUCCUUAAUAAGUUUGCUUUUGUUGGUAAUGCAUCCUGGCAUAUAUUCCAUAAGAAGAGCUUGAUUUUUGGGUUGGUAUUGGCCCUCCAAAUCUUUGUCCAUAGGCUUCGAGGGGUCUGAUAAAAGGAUCGGCACUGCUUUUCGUUUUUCUCCCUGCAUUUGUUAUACCCACUUUUCACUGAAUAUACUCUAGACUUUGUGUUUGUCUAGACCAAUUUGUCCUCCUGUUCAUGUGUAUUCAAUGGAAUUCCUAGGAUUUCAUUUUUC